GAAACGCUAGUAAAACCGUCAUUACGCUGCCUUGUCAAGGCAAAAUUGUGGGUUAAAACCCCGCGUGUUUUA
rnacentral:tRNA from 1 species